rnacentral:rRNA from 1 species
UACGUAGGGUCCGAGCGUUGUCCGGAAUUACUGGGCGUAAAGAGCUCGUAGGUGGUUUGUCGCGUUGUUCGUGAAAACUCACAGCUCAACUGUGGGCGUGCGGGCGAUACGGGCAGACUUGAGUACUGCAGGGGAGACUGGAAUUCCUGGUGUAGCGGUGGAAUGCGCAGAUAUCAGGAGGAACACCGGUGGCGAAGGCGGGUCUCUGGGCAGUAACUGACGCUGAGGAAGCGAAAGCCGUGGGGAGCGAACAGG